CAGCCGUAAACAAUGUGCGUUAGGUGUGUCGGUAACCACGCGUUACUGAUGCGCCGAAGAGAAAUCGUGAAACGCACCACCUGGGAAGUACGGUCGCAAGGCUGAAACUUAAAGGAAUUGGCGGGGGAGCACCACAACAGGUGGAGCCUGCGGUUUAAUUGGAUUCAACGCCGGACAUCUCACCGGAUAAGACAGCUGAAUGAUUGUCAAUCUGAAGACUCUGCUUGACUAGCUGAGAGGAGGUGCAUGGCGUCAGUGACU
rnacentral:rRNA from 1 species